GAGCUCGUCCAUACCCACAGCUUCAGUUAAUAACGAUGGCAAACAGGACACACCUGUCAGGACAGGAGAGGCAGCAGAGAGCCAGGAACCUCAGCACAAGCAGGAUCCUGGAAUAAUCAUGGGAACGAUUCAAAAAUUAAAUCCAUUCAGGUUUUUCUCGCAGAACAGGAGCAGCGAGCCUCUUAUAGACUCUGCAGCAGCUCCGGCAGAUGAGAAGACUCAGGAUCACGGUGGGA